rnacentral:rRNA from 1 species
AGAAUCAACGCUGGCGGCGUGCCUAACACAUGCAAGUCGAACGAGAAAGUGGAGCAAUCCACGAGUAAAGUGGCGCACGGGUGAGUAACACGUGACUAACCUACCCUUGAGUGGGGGAAUAACCUAGGGAAACCUGGGCUAAUACCGCAUAACACCUACGGGUCAAAGGAGCAAUUCGCUUAGGGAGGGGGUCGCGGCCGAUUAGUUAGUUGGCGGGGUAAUGGCCCACCAAGACGAUGAUCGGUAUCCGGCCUGAGAGGGCGCACGGACACACUGGAACUGAAACACGGUCCAGACUCCUACGGGAGGCAGCAGUGGGGAAUUUUGCGCAAUGGGGGAAACCCUGACGCAGCAACGCCGCGUGGAGGAUGAAGUCCUUGGGACGUAAAACUCCUUUCGAUCGGGACGAUUAUGACGGUACCGGAAGAAGAAGCCCGGCUAACUUCGCGCCAGCAGCCGC